rnacentral:rRNA from 1 species
UUUAACUGAAGAGUUUGAUCAUGGCUCAGAUUGAACGCUGGCGGCAGGCUUAACACAUGCAAGUCGAGCGGGGGAAGGUAGCUUGCUACUGGACCUAGCGGCGGACGGGUGAGUAAUGCUUAGGAAUCUGCCUAUUAGUGGGGGACAACAUCUCGAAAGGGAUGCUAAUACCGCAUACGUCCUACGGGAGAAAGCAGGGGAUCUUCGGACCUUGCGCUAAUAGAUGAGCCUAAGUCGGAUUAGCUAGUUGGUGGGGUAAAGGCCUACCAAGGCGACGAUCUGUAGCGGGUCUGAGAGGAUGAUCCGCCACACUGGGACUGAGACACGGCCCAGACUCCUACGGGAGGCAGCAGUGGGGAAUAUUGGACAAUGGGGGGAACCCUGAUCCAGCCAUGCCGCGUGUGUGAAGAAGGCCUUAUGGUUGUAAAGCACUUUAAGCGAGGAGGAGGCUACUUUAGUUAAUACCUAGAGAUAGUGGACGUUACUCGCAGAAUAAGCACCGGCUAACUCUGUGCCAGCAGCCGCGGUAAUACAGAGGGUGCGAGCGUUAAUCGGAUUUACUGGGCGUAAAGCGUGCGUAGGCGGCUUAUUAAGUCGGAUGUGAAAUCCCCGAGCUUAACUUGGGAAUUGCAUUCGAUACUGGUGAGCUAGAGUAUGGGAGAGGAUGGUAGAAUUCCAGGUGUAGCGGUGAAAUGCGUAGAGAUCUGGAGGAAUACCGAUGGCGAAGGCAGCCAUCUGGCCUAAUACUGACGCUGAGGUACGAAAGCAUGGGGAGCAAACAGGAUUAGAUACCCUGGUAGUCCAUGCCGUAAACGAUGUCUACUAGCCGUUGGGGCCUUUGAGGCUUUAGUGGCGCAGCUAACGCGAUAAGUAGACCGCCUGGGGAGUACGGUCGCAAGACUAAAACUCAAAUG